CAUGCUAGUUGUGCGGGUUUAGACCCGCAGCGGAAAGCUCAGUAACACGUGGGCCAAGCUACCCUGUGGACGGGAAUACUCUCGGGAAACUGAGGCUAAUCCCCCGAUAACGCUUUGCUCCUGGAAGGGGGCAAAGCCGGAAACGCUCCGGCGCCACAGGAUGCGGCUGCGGUCGAUUAGGUAGACGGUGGGGUAACGGCCCACCGUGCCCAUAAUCGGUACGGGUUGUGAGAGCAAGAGCCCGGAGACGGAAUCUGAGACAAGAUUCCGGGCCCUACGGGGCGCAGCAGGCGCGAAACCUUUACACUGUACGAAAGUGCGAUAAGGGGACUCCGAGUGUGAAGGCAUAGAGCCUUCACUUUUGUACACCGUAAGGUGGUGCACGAAUAAGGACUGGGCAAGACCAGUGCAAAAACGCCGCGGUAAUACCGGCAGUCCGAGUGAUGGCCGAUCUUAUUGGGCCUAAAGCGUCCGUAGCUGGCUGAACAAGUCCGUUGGGAAAUCUGUCCGCUUAACGGGCAGGCGUCCAGCGGAAACUGUUCAGCUUGGGACCGGAAGACCUGAGGGGUACGUCUGGGGUAGGAGUGAAAUCCUGUAAUCCUGGACGGACCGCCGGUGGCGAAAGCGCCUCAGGAGAACGGAUCCGACAGUGAGGGACGAAAGCUAGGGUCUCGAACCGGAUUAGAUACCCGGGUAGUCCUAGCUGUAAACGAUGU
rnacentral:rRNA from 1 species